GGCGGUGGGGUGGCUGGGGAAGGCGGGCGGCGGCAGCAGCAGCGGCCACGGCCCAUGAGGCGAAGAAGCCCGAGCGGGCAGGGUGGCGGCGGCGGUGGUAGGUCUCUAUACAGAGGGAGAUGCAGAUGGAUAGACGGAAGCCAGCAAUACAAAGAACUAAAGACAACCUGUGCUCUGUUGAGUCAUCAUUUCAGAGAGAUUUCCUUAUCUAAACAAAAAUGAUUCAGGAGGAGGCAAAAAAAAUAAUGGAAACAGGAAUGAUUUCUGGAUUCCUGCCAACUUCCCCAUUGAAUUUCCUUGUGGGAAUCUAGCAGGGAGCAUCAAAAAUCUUCCCUCUAGGCAGGGACAAAAAUCUGGUCACACAACAGCCAAUGGAAGAUAUAUUUCAUUGUUUGGGAGGAACAUAACAUCAACACUACCAAAUUCUGGAGCUGUGCAUGUUGCAGGCAAGAAAUGAAAAAUGUGUUUGGACAUUAGAAAUUCUGGCAGUCAUGAUGUAAAAUGUACCAAUUGAACACUAGAGGUAGCUACAGACCAGGGUACAAUGUAGAAUUAGACUCACUGACUUCCAGUUAUAAAAUUCUGCAGCAAAGUUAUAAAGCUUCAGAGUUUGGUCUGUCUGCCUGAAGAAACCUCACACAGCAUUGCCCACAUCUUUAGAAGUAGAUCAUUAUAUGUAUGUAUUUUAGAGACUAAAAUGGACGAUCUGAAACUUAAGCUGGCCACAAACAAGGAGUGUAUAUCAGAGGUGGUGACCCUUUGAGAACUGUAUGCAACAAAAAUUUCAUUUUGAUGUAUGCCGAUUUGUGUACAUUCAAAGUGACAGUAAAGUUGUUGUUAUUUACGUGGAAUAUUCUUCCCCUGGAGGAGAGACAGAUCCCGACUCUCCUGGCCUUCUGAAAAGGAGGUAAGAUAUGGUUCUGCAGCAUCACUUGGGAGCCCAGGAUAGCACAUAGCCAAGGGGCUGGUUAGUCCCCUGAAAAACCUUCCCUUUACAAUUUAACUAAUUUUAAUCUCUUAGCUCUUCUUAAUUUUUUUUAAAUGUUUGCAUAUGCUGCUUUAUAUUUUGACAUUUUAUUGUACACUGCCCAUCUCUGGAUGGUACAGAAAUGUGAAAAAUAAAGAAAUUUAUUUAAAUUUAA